rnacentral:lncRNA from 1 species
CUACACACCACACAUAUUAAACGUUUAUAAAAUGAGUAUUAUAUCUUAUAGUAUAAUUUAUAGCAACAAACAGAUCCAUAUAUAUUUGAAAAAUAAUUGUUAUUAAAUAUAUGGGACCUUUAUGAAUGUACCCAAAACAAAUAUGCUGUCUCUUUCAUUCUCUUACUAUAUGGCCCGUGGCCGACACAAUAUAAUUAAACCAAUCAUCUCCCUCGUGACAAUAUGAAAAGACAGGAAUAGUUAACCGAGUCUUAUAGUACUAAAUUAUUGGUUACUUUAUUCCUGUUAAAUUAACUAUAGGUUACAUUUAUUUUAAUAAUUAGUCAGAUAAAGUGAUUUUUUAUAGAACUCGAGUGUUAUUACUGUUUACAUAUGACUUACACAAUACGGAGAUGGUUCCAUGAAGUGGCGUAUUCGUGGAAGUCACGAGAAGGGUCAAACCAAAGGUUCACUCUUUGCUCUCUAUCGCCUUUACCAUGAGCAAAUACGUUAGUUUGCACAGUGUAAGGCUGUCCACUUCGGUUUCCCAGGAAUUCAAAAUCUAGUUCAUCUCUUACAGAAUCUGUAUCCGACUUCAUCUGCGCAAUAAUUACAUAUAUCGAUUUAUUUAUAUUAUAACCAAAGGUUUUUAUAUGUAGUAAACUUAAAAUAUUUGUAUAUAUAUUACAUAGAACGCAGCAACUGUUCCUGCGGAAUCACCGGGGAUGAUUUUAAUUUUCAUGCUAACGCGGCCAAACAAAUACUGCUUCUUCGAAGCGAACCCACAUCCUAAACCAAUGUUAACCAAAAUAUUUUUAAAAUGGAUUUGAAGGUAUAUAUUAAUUAGGUUUAUAUAGAAUUGAUUAUGAUGCAUGUAAGAACCUGAGCUAGGGUCCAACUUGAGUUGAAUGGCUCUUCCUCCAUCGAUUUGAGUGAUAUGAGUAUCGGACGUAUUAUAUCUUAUAGUAUAAUUUAUAGCAACAAACAGAUCCAUAUAUAUUUGAAAAAUAAUUGUUAUUAAAUAUAUGGGACCUUUAUGAAUGUACCCAAAACAAAUAUGCUGUCUCUUUCAUUCUCUUACUAUAUGGCCCGUGGCCGACACAAUAUAAUUAAACCAAUCAUCUCCCUCGUGACAAUAUGAAAAGACAGGAAUAGUUAACCGAGUCUUAUAGUACUAAAUUAUUGGUUACUUUAUUCCUGUUAAAUUAACUAUAGGUUACAUUUAUUUUAAUAAUUAGUCAGAUAAAGUGAUUUUUUAUAGAACUCGAGUGUUAUUACUGUUUACAUAUGACUUACACAAUACGGAGAUGGUUCCAUGAAGUGGCGUAUUCGUGGAAGUCACGAGAAGGGUCAAACCAAAGGUUCACUCUUUGCUCUCUAUCGCCUUUACCAUGAGCAAAUACGUUAGUUUGCACAGUGUAAGGCUGUCCACUUCGGUUUCCCAGGAAUUCAAAAUCUAGUUCAUCUCUUACAGAAUCUGUAUCCGACUUCA